rnacentral:lncRNA from 1 species
CUUACUUAGCCCCCUGCCAUUUAAAAUGUUUAAGCUUCCCACAAUAGACAAACCCAGGCCAUACCUUGCUUGCUGCCAGGGUUCUGCCUGCUUUGCCUGGUCAAAGGUACGGUCAGUCCCGCAAGUUGUUCCAUUACAGAAAAAUCUCAGACCUGGCUCUGACAGUCAAAAGCCUAUGCUGCUCUGUAUGACAGCUAAAGACCUACAACCACUGCCCUCAAGAAGACUGUGGAGACCAUGGGAGCCUCAGUAAAUCAGAGAUGUCCUGGGAUCAAAUGAAGGGACCAGCUUCCCUUUUGGCAGCCAUAACGGCCGAACACGUGCUCUAUGACCUUGUCUUAGUCACUGGAAAGUCAGAUGCCUGCCUCGUGACAAGGAACC